rnacentral:rRNA from 1 species
AUUGAACGCUGGCGGCAUGCCUUACACAUGCAAGUCGAACGGUAACAGGUCUUCGGAUGCUGACGAGUGGCGAACGGGUGAGUAAUACAUCGGAACGUGCCCAGACGUGGGGGAUAACGAGGCGAAAGCUGUGCUAAUACCGCAUACGAUCUAAGGAUGAAAGCAGGGGACCGCAAGGCCUUGCGCGUUUGGAGCGGCCGAUGGCAGAUUAGGUAGUUGGUGGGAUAAAAGCUUACCAAGCCGACGAUCUGUAGCUGGUCUGAGAGGACGACCAGCCACACUGGGACUGAGACACGGCCCAGACUCCUACGGGAGGCAGCAGUGGGGAAUUUUGGACAAUGGGCGAAAGCCUGAUCCAGCAAUGCCGCGUGCAGGAUGAAGGCCUUCGGGUUGUAAACUGCUUUUGUACGGAACGAAAAGGCUCUGGCUAAUACCUGGGGCACAUGACGGUACCGGAAGAAUAAGCACCGGCUAACUACGUG